rnacentral:rRNA from 1 species
UACGGAGGGUGCAAGCGUUAUCCGGAUUCACUGGGUUUAAAGGGUGCGUAGGUGGGCAGGUAAGUCAGUGGUGAAAUCUCUGGGCUUAACCCGGAAACUGCCAUUGAUACUAUUUGUCUUGAAUGUCGUGGAGGUUAGCGGAAUAUGUCAUGUAGCGGUGAAAUGCUUAGAUAUGACAUAGAACACCUAUUGCGAAGGCAGCUAACUACGCGAAUAUUGACGCUGAGGCACGAAAGCGUGGGGAUCAAACAGG